AUUGGAAGGAUAAUUUUUUUUAUCGCCAACUCCACCUUCCUAGAAUAUAGACUCACGCCAUUAUUCAGUUUUUUACUUUCCUCAAUUGCUACCCACGUAGUACUUUAUGUGAAUCUUUUUCAUUUACCCCUAGAUAUAUAUACAAGCAUCUGUAAUUCAUUUGCAGUUCUUGGAUUCUUAGUUUUACAAUCCUUUCGAUUAAGCAAAAAGAAGAAGAUUUAUAAGUAAAAUGAGUUCAAAUCGUCAGUGGAUGUACAAAAGGUAACCAGAGGUUUGUAUGAUCCUGAAUUCGUAAAGGGUGUACAGCAAUUUAUUGAGUUUGCGAUGAAUCAUCCAGAAGAGAGGGAUGGUGAGAGACUAAGGUGCCCAUGUAAUCGGAAAAUAUGUCAAAAUAUGGGAUGGUUUGUGGACAUGAAAAAACAAAAUUUUUUGGUAUGAAAAGUCACGAUUGUCAUGUAUUCAUGCGAAGAUUGAUCCCUAUUGCAUUUCGUGAGCUACUGCCAGAAAAGAUGUGGAAAGCACUUACUAAGAUGAGCCUUUUCUUUAGGGAUCUCACUUCUACAGUACUGCAUGAAGAGGAUAUGGUAAGAUUUCAGCGAGAAAUACCUGAAAUUCUUUGUAAAUUAGAGCGUAUAUUCCCUCCUAGUUAUUUUGAAUUAAUGGAACACCUCCAUGUUCAUCUCGCUUAUGAAGUCAUGCUAGCUGGUCCGGUACAAUAUCGAUGGAUGUAUCCAUUUGAGAGAAAUCUGCGAAGAUAUAAAUGUUGUGUUCGAAAUAAGGCACAUGUUGAAGGAUGUAUAUGCAAUGCAUAUUUGGUUGAGGAAGGUUCAUCAUUCUGUUCACACUACAUCGAGCCUCAUUUUUAAUCACUUUACUUGUUUUGUUUAAAUUGUUCUUCAGGUUUUAUUUGGAACAGUUAUCCCUCACUCUCAGUAUGUGAUGUGAAGUAGUUGAUUCUGGAACUACAUUUUGAAUAGUGAUGCCACAUUUUUGUUCCUGUCCAAGUGUUUAUUUAUGUCCAGAUACAUAGAUACAUGUUCUUCUUAACUUUUCAAAGAUAUAGCACUUAGGGAAGGUGGACCAAGUAGAUAUUCUGAAAAAGAGGAAAGCAAAUUCACUGACAUCUCCUCCUAAGUUGAGUUCUACAGCUACUCAAGCACCAUUAUCGCCUGAACUAUCCAUACCAUUAAGUCGCAGUCCACAUAUCCGUACCAUCUUCAUGUGUGGGGAUUGAGGCACCUAGAAAUGAAAUCUUAUCAUCAAGUUCGUCCAAUACAACUAAUGGUACUCGUAUCCCAAUGGAAAUUGUCCUUGGAAGUCUGGAGCCGGGAACAAUGUAUCCCGGGCAAUCACAAAAUUUCUUAAAGGAAAGACUAGAUCCUGAAAGACAUGACUGGAAGUCAGUUACACCAGAAAUUAAGGACUUCUACUGGGAGGAGUUUAAGAAAUGAUUCCAAUGGGAUACUGCAAUUGAAGGAUCCAUAAAGGAAAACUUUAUGAGAAAUUGUGCAGAACGAUACAAGGGUAUGCUAUGUGAAGCAAGAUCCUCUGAGAAAUACCGCAAAAAAUAUCCCGAAAUCUGUUUGAGAUAGUUGGAAGCCUCACUUGGGAUACUGAGGCUUUUAAGGCCAAAUCUGCACAAUGUUCAAAAAAUUGUCUCAGUCAAAAAUGUGGCGAAGGUUCUGGUCCCUCACGCCAUACAGGAGGCUCCCGCACUCACCGAGAGCAUGCAAGACAACUGGAAAUCAUUCUAGGACGACCACCUCAUCCACAGGAGCUUUUGAAGAAGACACAUAUCAAAGCGAACAAUGAGUUUGUGGAUCUGAAGUCUAAGAGCACAUAUGAUGCUGUAGUGUCUAAGAUCACAUUUGCAUCUCAGCCUGUAGAUGAACCUGUCGAGUCUCCAGAAGUUGAUUUUUCAAAAAUUUACAUGGAUGAAGUGGGUGGAGUUAUGAAGGCAUGCAUCUAUGACCUAUUGUUGGUCCAUUAUCUUCUUCAUCUUCUCGACUUCAAGAUCAUGAUUUUGACACUCAGAGUGAAGGAAUGCGUCCAAGAUAUGAAGGAGGAGAUGAAGCAUGAGAUGAGAGAAGAAAUCAGACAUGAAUCGCGUGAAGAAAUGAGGCAUGAGAUGUGCCGAUAAAUGCAAGAGCAAGUUUACAAGAUUCUCCAGGACCGUUUGUCAACCAUCAUAGCAGGACAUCGCCAACUUAGAAAUGACUUUCCAUCAAGUAAUGAUGUGAGUUAUAUUUAGAUUAUUUAAAUUUUAAACUAUCUAUUUUAGACAUAUUUUGUGUUGUUUAUGCACUUAUUUAAAUUUAUUUUGAACUCAUUAUCUUAGAUUGUUUGGGAAUUGUUAGUUCAAGUUAUGGUUUAUAGAA